rnacentral:lncRNA from 1 species
CGGUGUCUACGUCGGACCCGUCGGCGGUCGACGAGUCAGGAAAUCGUCGGCGGGACUUUCCCCUCCUCCAACCAAAAAAACACGCGUAUUCCGACCGGAAAUCGAGUUUAGGGAAAAACGAGUGCGUGCGAUAAAAAUCGAUCAUUUAUUGUCGCGAGGAACAAUAACAUUAUUUUCAUGGUUUUUUUGCGCCGUAAAAAGUGACUAGACUCGGCGAUACGAAACCCUACAUAGUCGGAGCGUCUUUUCCCGUUCGCGAUUCCCACGCAAAAUAUCGUAUUAUAUUAAAAAAUAUCGAUCGGAAUAUUAUCGUUUUUGUACGGGUACGGGAAAACGUAUAAAAAUCGUGCCGGAAAAGUCGGAGGAUUUUAAAAAUCCGCACCCGUGGCGACCUUGAAUCAAUCGAUGAUAUUAUUCGCGAUUGGCUAUUAGAACACGAACGCUACUCGCAAUCGGGAGCGGUUUUAAACCUUAUACGGCUGAGUAUUUCCAAAUGAGUUCUUAACCGUCGUCGUUUAUAAUAUAGUUAUGCGAACAAUGUCACCUUUGACGACGCGAUUUCGUACGUCCAUGGGUGCGGGGAGAGUAUAAUAAUAUAUCGAUGUGACGAUUUACGAAAAAAAAAAAAAAAGAAUUAAAUAAUUAGACAUUUGUGUGGAUUGUCACGAAACGUAGACGAUUCGCAUAGUACGUUUGUGUGUAUAUUUUACACUGUUACGCCCGACGACCGUCGUCUCGCAGUAGAAGUUGAGUGGUAAAAAAAAAAAAAUAUGUGAUCGUUUUCGCAACUCGCGCGUGCGUUCUCUCGGACGACCCAAAUCUCCCUGGCGCGCGUAAUAUGAAUCGCGUAAUAUCGCAUUAAUUUUCGCGUGUGUUUCAAAUUUCGAAAUCGUCGUCGUGCGCGUACGAAAACGCGGUUUUUAUUGUAUAUACACGCGAAAUAAAUUAAUUCCACAUUAUUUAUUUUUUCGCGUAAUUAAAAUUAAAAAAACAAAAAAACAACGGUCUUAUACAUGUAAACGUCGCCGACCGUUUCCUCUGUGUGUUGCUUUGAGAACCGGAGUUUUAGUUUACCGUCUAUUCAGCGAGCCGGAUAUAGGAAUUUUUUUUUUUUUUUUUGUAAAUAAAUAACAAUACGAUUGAAUUUUUUACUGUAAUCACGACUGGUCGACUUAAACCCGAAACGCGCCAUGCAGUACCCAUGAAGAGGCUAAUGUCUCGGGAAAGUGAGGCGCAAAAUGUAUUAUAUUUACAGGUUGGCCAGUUAGAGGCGACAAAAUGUUUUGCGAUCAUUAAAGGCAAUAUUAUGUACCUAUAUAUUGUUCAAUUAUUGAAUUUCAACUUCAAAAGUCUAUAUAGCUCAACAAUUUGUGCUAUUGAUAACGUUUCACAGUGUAAACAAUUGUACCUGCAAAUUCCGAAUGGUUAAGUAGUAGCACUGUAUUUACAGACCUUUCUGGGCCCGUGCCCGCGGUCUUAAUAUUAUGUGGGUAUUGUUGAUUGUUUGACAGUGUACGCGGGAAAAAUUCAAAACCGCGGACGAUAAAUAAAAACAACAACGGUAACCGCGUACGGCGAACAGACGAGACGGAUGCGAUUACGCGGCGGCGGUCCCGCGAAGGCCGAAGAAUAGCAUGGCGCGGCCAAGGGUAGUCGCGUGUUUACGAAAGG